UACAACCAUAUUACGUCGAAACCCCAGUUUCCGUACGAUCACCGAAGUUAAGGAACAUCGAGCCUGGUCAAUACCUAGAUGGGUGACCGUUUGAAAAAAUAAGGUGUUGUAA